AGCACCGGCUAACUACGUGCCAGCAGCCGCGGUAAUACGUAGGGUGCAAGCGUUAUCCGGAAUUAUUGGGCGUAAAGGGCUCGUAGGCGGUUCGUCGCGUCCGGUGUGAAAGUCCAUCGCUUAACGGUGGAUCCGCGCCGGGUACGGGCGGGCUUGAGUGCGGUAGGGGAGACUGGAAUUCCCGGUGUAACGGUGGAAUGUGUAGAUAUCGGGAAGAACACCAAUGGCGAAGGCAGGUCUCUGGGCCGUCACUGACGCUGAGGAGCGAAAGCGUGGGGAGCGAACAGGAUUAGAUACCCUGGUAGUCCACGCCGUAAACGGUGGAUGCUGGAUGUGGGGACCAUUCCACGGUCUCCGUGUCGGAGCCAACGCGUUAAGCAUCCCGCCUGGGGAGUACGGCCGCAAGGCUAAAACUCAAAGAAAUUGACGGGGGCCCGCACAAGCGGCGGAGCAUGCGGAUUAAUUCGAUGCAACGCGAAGAACCUUACCUGGGCUUGACAUGUUCCCGACAGCCCCAGAGAUGGGGCCUCCCUUCGGGGCGGGUUCACAGGUGGUGCAUGGUCGUCGUCAGCUCGUGUCGUGAGAUGUUGGGUUAAGUCCCGCAACGAGCGCAACCCUCGCCCUGUGUUGCCAGCACGUCAUGGUGGGAACUCACGGGGGACCGCCGGGGUCAACUCGGAGGAAGGUGGGGAUGACGUCAGAUCAUCAUGCCCCUUACGUCCAGGGCUUCACGCAUGCUACAAUGGCCGGUACAACGGGAUGCGACACCGCGAGGUGGAGCGGAUCCCUUAAAACCGGUCUCAGUUCGGAUUGGAGUCUGCAACCCGACUCCAUGAAGGCGGAGUCGCUAGUAAUCGCGGAUCAGCAACGCCGCGGUGAAUGCGUUCCCGGGCCUUGUACACACCGCCCGUCAAGUCAUGAAAGUGGGUAGCACCCGAAGCCGGUGGCCCAACCUUUUGGGGGGAGCCGUCUAAGGUGAGACUCGUGAUUGGGACUAAGUCGUAACAAGGUAGCCGUACCGGAAGGUGCGGCUG
rnacentral:rRNA from 1 species